rnacentral:rRNA from 1 species
UAGGGAAUCUUCGGCAAUGGACGGAAGUCUGACCGAGCAACGCCGCGCGAGUGAAGAAGGUUUUCGGAUCGUAAAGCUCUGUUGUUAGAGAAGAACGUUGGUAGGAGUGGAAAAUCUACCAAGUGACGGUAACUAACCAGAAAGGGACGGCUAACUACGUGCCAGCAGCCGCGGUAAUACGUAGGUCCCGAGCGUUGUCCGGAUUUAUUGGGCGUAAAGCGAGCGCAGGCGGUUCUUUAAGUCUGAAGUUAAAGGCAGUGGCUUAACCAUUGUACGCUUUGGAAACGGGAGGACUUGAGUGAAGAAGGGGAGAGUGGAAUUCCAUGUGUAGCGGUGAAAUGCGUAGAUAUAUGGAGGAACACCGGUGGAGAAAGCGGCUCUCUGGUCUGUAACUGACGCGGAGGCGCGAAAGCGUGGGGAGCAAACAGG